rnacentral:rRNA from 1 species
GUAGGGAAUAUUGGGCAAUGGAUGCAAGUCUGACCCAGCCAUCCCGCGUGCCGGAAGAAGGCCCUCAGGGUUGUAAACGGCUUUUGACGGUGAAGAAUCGACAGGAUGCGUCCUGUUUUGACGGUAGCCGUUGAAUAAGCACCGGCUAACUCCGUGCCAGCAGCCGCGGUAACACGGAGGGUGCGAGCGUUGUCCGGAGUUAUUGGGUUUAAAGGGUGCGGAGGCUGGACGGUCAGUCAGCGGUGAAAAGCUGUCGCUGAACGAUGGUCUUGCCGCAGAUACUUCCUUUCUUGGAUGAGGAGGAGGCCACUCGAACGGAUGGUGUAGCGGUGAAAUGCAUAGAUAUCAUCCAGAACACCGAUUGCGAAGGCAGGUGGCUGUACCUUAAUCGACGCUGAUGCACGAAAGCAUGGGGAGCAAACAGGAUUAGAUACCCUUGUAGUCC